rnacentral:rRNA from 1 species
GUUAGGAAUAUUGGACAAUGGGCGAAAGCCUGAUCCAGCCAUGCCGCGUGAACGAUGAAGGCCUUCGGGUUGUAAAGUUCUUUAGCCGAUGAUUAUAAUGACUGUAGUCGGAAAAUAAGCCCCGGCUAACUUCGUGCCAGCAGCCGCGGUAAUACGAAGGGGGCGAGCGUUAUUCGGAAUCACUGGGCGUAAAGAGUGCGUAGGCGGUUUUGUAAGUUAGGAGUGAAAGCCCAGGGCUCAACCUUGGAAUUGCUCUUAAAACUGCAAGGCUCGAAUCUCGGAGAGGAUAGCGGAAUUUCCAGUGUAGCAGUGAAAUGCGUAGAUAUUGGAAGGAACACCAGUGGCGUAAGCGGCUAUCUGGACGAGUAUUGACGCUGAGGCACGAAAGCGUGGGGAUCAAACAGGAUUAGAAACCCUGGUAGUCC